UUCGAUUAGGGUUUGGAUUAGGAUUUAGGGUUUGGAUUAGGGUUUGGAUUAGGGUUUAGGAUUUAUUUAGGGUUUGAUUUAGGAUUUGGAUUAGGGUUUGUUGUAAGGUUUGGUUUAGGAUUUAGGAUUUUGAUUAAAGUUUAGGGUUGGAUUAGGAUUUGGAUUAGGGUUUAGGAUUUGAUUAUGGUUUGAUUUAGGGUUUGGAUUAGAGUUUGGACUAGGAUUUGGUUAGGGUUUGAUUUAAGGUUUGGUUUAGGGUUUAGGAUUUGGAUUAGAGUUUAGGAUUUGGAUUAGGAUUUGGAUUAGGAUUUAAGAUUUGAUUAGGAUUUGAUUUAGGGUUUGGAUUAGGGUUUGGACUAGAGUUUAGGGUUUGGACAAGAGCAACAGGUUAACGAUCGCAAAGAGAGUAUGGCUAACAAAGCAUUACAAGCGGACAGGAUAAGAUCGAUCAAUUUGAAGGAAAGGAUAUUACAAAAUAUUUAAGAUAUUAUGUAAAGGAAAUGGAAUUGAAGCGUAUUUCAUAAAGUGAGAUGGUUCAAUUAUUUGAAUUAGCCUCUGCAUGAGAGAUAAGAAAUCAAGUUAAGUUUCUUAUUCAACACUUUGGAGGUUCAUGGGAGAAAUUUUCUCAAGCUUUAAAGGAUGGGUUUUUCUUAGAAGAUAGUGAUAGGAUUACAAAAAGGUCUUUUUUUGAAUGGAUUGAAAGGCCAAAGAAGGAUCUUCUAGCAAUAGAAUUAUUAAGGGAGUUUGAAAAGAAAUAUUCUUCUUUAUCAAAGAAAGAAAGAUAGUUAUUGAAUCCAAGUAAGGUGGAGCUCUUUCUUCAAGCAGUUGAUGGAAAGUGGCAAGAGAAGUUGGAAUUCCUGCUUGAAGAUAAAGAAGAAGAUGAAGGAUUGACAACAAAUUGAGAAAGGGUAGAGGAUGCUGUAAGGACGAUGACAAAAAGAAAAAAGAGAAAAGAUAUGGAGGGUGAUCAAAGACCAUUACAACCAUCUAAGAUAAAGGUGUCUAGUAUCCAUCCGACAUCUUUAAUUCAACCUUCAAUGGCUACAUCAAAAAAAGAAGAAACAGGAAUUGAUGAAAUCAUACGUGGAAUGAGAGAUUUGCAAAUAAAAUUUACAAAACUUGAAGAGAAAGGUCAAUCAUCAAGAAUAUCAACAAAAUAAAGACCAAGGCCAAUAGAGGGUGUAGUACAUAGAUGCAUGUGGUGUGACAGCAUAGAUUACUCGAGGAAAGAAUGUGAAGAAUUUACAGAGGCAUUACGUAAAGGAGUUAUUUUUUUUAAAGAUGGUAUGAUACACUCAAAAGAAAAUGGAGAAAAAUUGGAAAUAAAUUUUGGUAAAAGAGAAAUAAAGUUAUUUAUUGGAGAUACUUUUAAAGUGCAGACAAUCUCAAGUAAUGAAGCAUCAACAUAUUGGGUGGAAGCAGAUCCUAGUAGAUUUUUAAGUAUAAACCUGGAGUUUCCAGUAGAAUCUAGUUCUUUGUGGACAAGUGCAAUGAGGUAUGCUGAAAAGGGAAAUUUUACUAGAGAUGAUUUGAAACGUGUUGGUAAUAACAUUCGACAAAUUAUUGGGUGGAAUGAUCCAGUAGAUAGACUAUCUGUAUAUGCUCAUAUUGUAAGGAGUCAACAUGAAGCAUUAAUAGAAGAAGAAUGAAGGAGAGAUGAAAAUAAUGAAGGGCCCUCAAAAAGAAUUACAAGGGGAGAAAAAGCACGACAACAAAAGAAUCCUAUACAUGAAGAGACAAUGGAGAGCAUUUCUACAAAAGAGAGGAAAAUUGGAAAAGAAAAAGCAAAGGCUCCUGCUUAUAAAUUACAAUUAGAUAUUGAAGCAAUUACAGAUUUGAAGAAGGUAUUGGAGGAGCGGAUUUUAAGUGAAAAGGUUGAAUUCAUAAUUAUUGAAAUUCUAGGAAUUACAAAGCGUAAGUUUCAUAAAGUUAUUAUUGAUACAAUAAAGAGAAAAUGAUAAUCUAUAGGAGACUCUAUGACAUCAAAUGCACAAGGAACAAGAACAAUGGAAAGAAAUGAAGAUGAAAAAGAUGAAAUACAAAAUUUUGGAGAUGACUUGCGAGUAAGGUUUGUAGAAAAAGAAGAUAUCAUUUAAGCUUCUAGCCAUUAUUCUAGAAGUCAUUGGGCAAGGGCUACAACGAAGUCUUUAAUAAAAUUGGGAAAUUUAGAAGAACCAGUUGUAGCAUUAAUUGAUCAUGGUUCUGAAAUCAAUUUGAUGUCAAAAGAAUUAUAUAACAAGAGAAAAUGGCCUAUUGAUACUGAACAUGGGUGGAUGAUAAGAGCUACGAAUAAUUCAAAGGGAGAUUUGUAUAGAGCAUGUCCAAAUAUCAAAGUGAAAAUUGGAGAUGUUAUUCAUGAACAAAAUUUCUUUGUGCAAGACAUGUCUAUAUACCCUAUUAUAUUAGGACAACCAUAUAUUAUUUCCACACGAAUGGAAAAAAAAAUAAUGGAUGAUGGUUCAGCUUAUGUAAGAAUAAAAAGCCAAGAUGGGAUGAAAGCAGUUCAAUUUUUAACUGUUUGUGCUAAUCAUGAGAGAAAUCAUGAUAAGUUGAGAGAGAAACCAAUAUCAAAUGAGAAAUUUGAAGACCUUGAGGAUUUUUACCACACACCAUUGUAAAGCAGGGUUGCAAUGGAUUAGAGAAAGAAAUGCUCCCUCUUAAUUUAAAAAAAGAAUUAUUAUCUACCGGACUUAUUGGGAUGACACAAGAUUGUGUAUUGACUUAAAAGACUAUUGAGAAAAUGGAAAAGAGGGACAGAUGUUAUAUUAAAAAUAUAGAGAAAAAUUUGAAAGAAAAUAGAGAAUUGGUUGAAAAUGAAUUUAUUUCAGGAACAUAUGAAGAAGUAAGUUUUGUAGAUACUAUGGAGGAAUUAAAUUAUCUAUUACAAUGUGGGUUACAAGUAAAAAAUAGAGUUAUUAAUGUGUGUUCUAAAGAAUUUUAUGAUGAAAUUUAAGGAUUUAAAGAAAAUUUAAGUCACCAAGAGGUAUAUGUUGAAACUAAGUAUAAAUCAGUAGCAAAGAAGGUCAAACAGUGGCUUUGCCAAUACCAUGUGAUUGUGAAGAAAUGAUAAGUGGAGCAUCGACACAACCAAAUCUAAGAGAUCUAAGGAAGAUACGGCAUAAAUUUAUGCAUGUAACAUUAGAUGGGUUAAAUAUUGGAGGUAAUGGAUUUUUGACAAAAUGUGAAGAAAAAUGUUUUAGGGAUAUUCUUUCACGUUGUCGUGUUGUAACAUGAGUAUACUGUGAAAAUAUAAAGAAAGAGGACUUUUAUAAAUGUUCAGUUACCUCGAAUAUUGAUAGCAACGACCAACUCCAGUGCAAAUACUGAGAGGCUAGGAUCAGUCACCCCGUUACAGUCAGCUGGGGCAUACUGAAAUGCUCCGUUCGAUUCCAAUAACGGGAGUCAGCAGGAAGGGAAAGGACCAAUUCAUACGACGGGUGAACCUGGUUCGAAGAGCCAAUUGGAUCCAAUUUCAAGAAUCCAAUCCGGAUCCUCUUACCCAAUAUGAGACCUGAAUUGGUCGGGCAACCCAAUGUAGUCUAAUUACGGGAAAAUCCAGGCCUUACUAUGGGCCUCAACCAAUCUGACACGAAGGACCAAUUUGAUCCAAUUACAGGAACAUCCGGGUCUUAUUACUAGACUCUUCUCCAAUAUGAGAAAUGAAUUGGUCGGGCGACUCAAUGUGGUCCCGAUUACGGGAUUUCGAUUCUGUUUCAAGCUGUCCUGUUCUCUGUGCCGUUUCAGGGAACAUUGUUUUCGGUAAAAGGAUCUCUUAAAGGUAAAAACAGAGGAGAAAGCUCUGACGGCGAGAGCCAAUUCUGGAUCUAAGAUGGAAGGAGCCAAUUCCGGAUCCAAGACGGAAGGAGCCAAUUUCGGAUCCAAGACGGAAGAUUGAAGAAAUUCAGAGGCUAGGGUUUGAAAGAGGGGAGAAUUAGGGUUAAAGGGGAGGAAGGUUAAGAAAUGAGGGGAUUUUUUUCAGAUCGGGUUUUUGGAUCGAAGAGCUAGCUUCAAGCUCUUUUCAAGGUCACUAGUUUGGUUUCAUUAGGAUUUGUGAGGGGAGAGCAAUCGCUGCUCAAAGUCAGUGUUUAUUUUGGUGUUUCAGAUUUUAUAUAAACAUUGAUGGUUUGCAUUCUCAAUCGGUUUGUGCAAGUCGUGUAGCAUCUAUGGAUCAAAAUUUGGUAUUGUCUGGAUAGUUGGAUGAGCUAAGUGUAUACAAAAAUUUGUGUUAAUCUAACGAUGCAAUCAAGAGAUAUCUAGGUUUUAGUACAAAGGAUUGUCAGAAGUUGGCAGUCUAGGGUUGGAUAGGGUUCUGUGAUAUCUGAAGAUCUACAAGUUGGAUCGACGUAAUUUUUGGCUUGGUAAUAGAAGAUUUGGAGAUCAAGCGGCUAUUCAAUUUUGAGUUGGAAUUAACGGUUGACAAAGGAGAAAUCACUUCUAGAGUUUCUACAUCAAAUUUCAAGGUUACGGCGGAGUGUCAUCAGUGCGGUUUUUGGGCGUUUUCUUGCAAUCUGUAAGUUGGGUUGGGCUGAAAUUUUUUGAGCAUAUAGAAGGCUUAUACUGGUAUUUGGGUGCAAAAUUUCACACUAAGUGGACGGUUGGAUCAAAAGUUACAGCUUGUCAAAGCUCACUGGCUAGGGUUAGGGCUUGUUAAGAAAAACAAAAACAACUUAAUUAUAAAAGAAAUAAAGCAAUUGGAAUAUUGUAUGAUUAAAAUGACUAUGAGGAGUGUUUUUAAAUACUUGGAAAUUGAUGUUUCAAUUAUAUUCUUCAUACAUGGAUAAAAUCUAUUACGGUUUCCUUGUUAUUUGCAAAAACAACUAUACCUUCCACAGCCAGAUACCCAGUGUAUUCCCGAACAAGACAGCACGUAAUACAAUAAUGUCAUGGAAAAGCUUUUGCAUUUGAAGCACAUGAAAUUGAGUGUGUUGAUCCAAAUAUUAUAGCAUCCAUGGUUAUUUUUACUAUUCCUCAUGAACCAUGGAAUUUCGACCAAUUCCAGUACCAAGAGCGUAUUUAUCUAAGUUAGUAGAUUUACUCAAUGAAAAGAUUAAAAUGGGAAUUUUGGAACCAUCUAUAGCACUUUAUUCUAAUCGAUGGUUUACAGUGCCAAAGAAAAAUGGAACAAUGAGAUUUAUAUAAGAUAUGCAACCCGUAAAUAAAGUAACUAUUAAAAAUAUGGGUUCAAGUCCAAUUGUAGAUGAAUUUGCAGAAGCAUUUGCUGGAAGAGCUAUCUACUCAAUGGAUGAUCUUUAUUCAGAUUAUGAUCAAUUCCAAUUGGCAAUACAAAGUAGGGAUUUGACAACUAUGAAGACACCAUUAGGAUUGGUUAGAAUGUGCAUAUUACCACAAGGGGCUACAAAUUCUGUAGCACAUAUGAUGAAUGGAAUGCAUAAGGUAUUAAGAGAUUUUAUUCCAAGAAUAACAAUGCCUUUCUUGGAUGAUGUACCUAUUAAGGGAUGUGAAGAAGAAAGAAAUGAUGAAACUUUAGAUUCAAAGGGAUGUAGAAAGUUUGUGGCAGAUCAUAUUGAAGAUUGUGAGAAGAUUUUGAAAAGAUUGGAAGAAGUUCAUUUAACCUUAUCGGGGACAAAAUCAAUGUUUGGAGUAAAAAAAAAUUUGGUGGUAGGAUACAUAUGUGGUUCAUAUGGACGUAAGCCAAGUAUAGAAAAGAUUGGUAUUAUUAAAAAGAUGAAAGAAUGUACAAAUACAAUGGAAGUGAGAAGAUUUUUAGGAGCAUGUAUUUUCUAUCAUAUAUGGAUACCUCACUUUGCACAUAUAGCAGAUCCAUUAUAUAAGUUGUUAAGAAAGAAUAAAAAAUUUCAAUAGAAAGAAGAACAACGGAAAGCUAUAGAAAAAUUGAAAAAACUUCUUUCUUCAUCUCCAACUUUGAAGAAAGUAAAUUAUGAAGGUGGAAGGCCAGUGGUAUUAACAGUUGAUGCAAAUCCAAUUGGAAUAGAUUGGGCGGUUGGGCAAGAUGAUGAACAAGGAAAUAGAUAUGUAGUAAGAUUUAGAGCAAAGGUAUUGAAUUCUAGGCAAAGGACAUAUGCGCAAAUCAAAAGAAAAUUAUGGGGUAUAGUAAUAGCUAUGAAAAAUGAAAAAGAGUACUUGAUUGGAACAUCAGUAGUUAUAGAAACAGAUUGUCUACCUUUGUUAGGCAUGAUUACAAGUUGUUCAAUUCUUGAUAUUGCUAUGUUGAGGUGGAUAGCAUAUAUCAAAUCUAUGAAUCUUGAAUUUAAACAUAUUGUAGGGAAAGAAAAUUCAGUUGUAAAUAUGUUAUCAAGAGCAAGGUAUAAUAAUGAAGAAAAGAUGAUUGAUUUAGAAGAUGAUGUGGGUACAAAAUUUUAUACCAAUGCGUUAUCAAAGAAAAAGAGUGUAUGUUUUAAUAUACCAUUAGAAGCAUUUUUAAGAGAUUUAUAUGAAAAUGAAUGGAAAGAUGUUGGAGAGUAUUUGAGUACAUUAAAACGACAAAAAGAUUAGACAGAUCAAGAAUUUAAGAAAAUUCGUAAGAAAGCCUAUGGAUAUUUUUUACAUGAUGGAUAUUUAUGGAAGGAUCCAAAAAAGAGAGGAGAAGUACCACAAAGGGUAAUAUGUGGUUUAAAAGUUCAACAAAAGAUUAUUAAAGAAUUUCAUGAAAAUUUAUGGGCAGGGCAUCGAGGUAUUUGGACAACAUUCACUAAGUUAAAGGAAAAAUAUUGGUGGAAGAGAAUGUACAAAGACAUAGCAAAAUUUGUAGAAUCUUGUGAGACUUGCCAAGUAUAUUCAAAUAUUCGACAUCGAAAUGGAUUACAUCCAACAUACCCUUUGGCUUUACAUUACAAAUGGGUGGUGGAUUUAGUGGCAAUGCCUAUGGGACUUGGACAAAGAAGUAUUUGAUACUUGCACAAAAAGAUUUAUCAAAUAUCGUUGAAGGACGAGCAUUAAGAACAAAGGAUACUAAAGAUGUAUGUCGAUUUCUAUUAGAAGAAGUUAUUUGUCGCUAUGGUUAUAUUAGAAAAAUUACGGUAGAUAGAGGUGAAUUGGAUACAAAGGAAGCACGAGAAUUCUUUAAUAGGAUAGGAAUUAAACUUUCUUUAACAACAACAUAUAAUACAAAAGGUAAUGGUAAAAGUGAGCAUAGAUAUUUACCUAUUAUUAAAGCAUUAGUAAAGGCAUGUAAUGGCAAAGCUCAUAAAAUGACUCAACUACUACCAUUUGUGCUAUAGACAGAUCGUACAACUCAUAGUUCAGUAACAGGUUAUAUGCCUUCUAAAUUAAUAUAUGAUCAAAAACCACUAAUGCCAAUAGAAGAUGUAGUACCUACGUGGGGUGUAUUGCCUUGGAAGAAUGAUCUCAACAAAGAAGAACUUUUAGCAUUACGGAUUUAGCAACUAGAAAGAAGAUCCAACGAUAUUGAAAUAGUAAUAAAAAAAUUGAAAGAAGCAAGGAAAAAGAAUAAAGAAAGAUUUGAUAAAAAACAUCGAUUACGACUUAAGACUAUUGAAGAUGGUGAUUGGAUAUUAGUUUAUGAUAGUAGCUUAGACAAUCAACAUAGCACUAUGAAGAAGUUUGCAAAGAGAUGGUUUGGGCCUUAUAUUGUCAAAACGGCACACAACAAUGGAACAUAUUCAUUACAAGAACUUGAUGGUACAGAAUUCAAAGUACUCAUAGCAGGCAAACGAAUCAAGUUAUUUAAACAAAGAGAUGAAGGCAUUUGUUUUCAUGAAGAACAAACUCAAAUACAAGAUAUUGAGAUUGGAAUAGAAGAGCAUAUUGAAGAUCAAGAAUUGUACCAAAAUGAAGAAUAUUCUACAUCAACAUAUUGAAGAAUAAUUGGCGCAUGCCGGAGGAUGCACAGAUUCAAAGAGCAGUAGAUGUCGUGAUGUAACAUGAUUAAUAGGUGAAAGAAUGUGGAGAUUAUUAUAAUUUAAGAGAUCUUAGUUCAAAGUAUUAGAACAAAUUAUCUUGGAUUAAUAGUUAAUAGCCAAAGGGAUAGAAAAAUUAAAAGGUACCAAUGCUGCCUUUUAGAAAGGUGACUUCUACUUACUUUUUAGUACCAUAAGUAAGGCAAAUCAAAGUAUAUUGGAAAAAUAAAUGAUAUAGGAAUCUUUAGAAGAAAGUUAAGAGUAAAUUCUAGAAAAAAGUUACUUAGAAAAACUAGAUAUUGAUACCCAGAAAAGGCCGGUUAUGAACCAGGGUCGAAAUCAGACCCUGAUGCACAAAACCGAGUCUCGACGACGACUCCGGGACUCUUUGGCAGAUCGGAGAGUAGGGUUUGAGAAAAGAUUGGAUAGGAUUUCUAUGGGCGUUGAUUUUGGGUGAUUUGGAGUUGAUAUGAAUUUGUAAGAGCUUUGCAAAGUUGAGUUUUUUUCGGAUGACUUGAGUUUUAUGAAAUAAAAUAGGAUUUAUGUUUUGAGUGAUUUCGAGAGUUUUGUUGCAGAUCUAUGAGUGAAGUUUUUUUUUAUUUAUGGUUAUAGUUGUGUUGAAUACAUGUUGUGAAUUUGAGCUUGAUCUAACUGAGAGACAUUGAGGUUUAAAAGAGUCAAGGUCUCAGAAAGUAGAAUUUUAGGUCCAGUGGGGGUUUUUAAGAUUUCAUGCAAUCUACUAGUUGGAUUGGAGUAAAACUUGUGUGAGAGGAUAUUAGACUUGUUUUCUUAUAUCCAUGAGAAAUUUGAAACCAAUCGAAUGGCGCAAAGAAGAGAAAUUGGCUCUGGAAGGUUGGCAACAAGAUUAGAGAAGAAGGUUGGCUAACACCCGAACACAUUUUUGAGGGUUUCGUCAAUUUGGUAACUCCGAUCUUUUUCAAAAAAAAUUUGCUUUUUUUGAACUUGAUUUUUAAGAAGUGUGCAAAUUUUGAAUUGAGAUCGACGGUUUAUUCAUUAGAUAUUGAGGUUUAAAUCUGUCAUAGGAAUUACUAAGAUUUGGAUUAGGGUUUGGCUAGGGUUCGGUUUAGGGUUUCGAUUAGGGUUUGGAUUAGGAUUUAGGGUUUGGAUUAGGAUUUGGAUUAGGAUUUAGGGUUUGUUUAGGGUUUGAUUUAGGGUUUGGAUUAGGGUUUGUUGUAAGGUUUGGUUUAGGAUUUAGGAUUUUGAUUAAAGUUUAGGGUUGGAUUAGGGUUUGGAUUAGGGUUUAGGAUUUGAUUAGGAUUUGAUUUAGGGUUUGGAUUAGAGUUUGGACUAGGAUUUGGUUAGGGUUUGAUUUAAGGUUUGGUUUAGGGUUUAGGAUUUGGAUUAGAAUUUAGGAUUUGCUUAGGGUUUGAUUUAGGGUUUGGACUAGGGUUUGGAUUAGAAUUUGAUUAGGGUUUGAUUUAAGGUUUGGUUUAGGAUUGAGGAUUUGGAUUAAAGUUUAGGAUUAGAUUAGGAUUUGGAUUAGGGUUUAGGAUUUGAUUAGGGUUUGAUUUAGGAUUUGGAUUAGAGUUUGGACUAGGAUUUGGUUAGGGUUUGAUUUAAGGUUUGGUUUAGGAUUUAGGAUUUGGAUUAGAGUUUAGGGUUUGGAUUAGGAUUUGGAUUAGGAUUUAAGAUUUGGUUAGGAUUUGAUUUAGGAUUUGGAUUAGGGUUUGGACUAGAGUUUAGAGUUUGGUUAGGGUUUGAUUUAGGAUUUGGAUUAGGAUUUGGUUAGGAUUUGAUUUAAGGUUUGAUUUAGGGUUUAGGGUUGGAUUAGGAUUUGGUUUAGGGUUUGAUUUAGGGUUUGAUUUAGGGUUUGAUUUAGGAUUUAGGAUUUG
rnacentral:lncRNA from 1 species